rnacentral:rRNA from 1 species
CCUACGGGAGUCAGCAGUGAGGAAUAUUGGUCAAUGUGCGGGAGCCUGCACCAGCCAAGUCGCGUUAUGGAAGACGUUCCUAUGUAUUGUAAACCUCUUUAGGCGGGGAGCAAUGCCUGGCACGUGUGCCCGGAGGGAUAGUACCCUCAGAAUAAGCAUCGGCUAACUCCGUGCCAGCAGCCGCGGUAAUACGGAGGAUUCGAUCGUUAUCCUGAUUUAUUGGGUUUAAAGGAUGCGUAGUCGGAUUUUUAAGUCAGCGGUAAAAUGUCCGGGCUCAAACCGGGCCGGCCGUUGAAACUGGGGGUCUUGAGUGGGUGAGAAGGAUGCGGAAUGCGUGGUGUAGCGGUGAAAUGCAUAGAUAUCACGCAGAACUACGAUUGCGAAGGCAGCAUACCGGCGCCCGACUGACGCUGAGGCACGAAAGCGUGGGGAUCGAACAGGAGUAGAUACCCUGGUAGUC